rnacentral:rRNA from 1 species
CCUACGGGACGCAGCAGUGAGGAAUAUUGGUCAAUGGGCGCGAGCCUGAACCAGCCAAGUCGCGUGAGGGAAGACGGUCCUAUGGAUUGUAAACCUCUUUUGUCGGGGAGCAAAAGACGCCACGCGUGGCGUUCCGAGAGUACCCGAAGAAAAAGCAUCGGCUAACUCCGUGCCAGCAGCCGCGGUAAUACGGAGGAUGCGAGCGUUAUCCGGAUUUAUUGGGUUUAAAGGGUGUGUAGGCGGGACGGUAAGUCAGCGGUAAAAAUGCGGAGCUCAACUCCGCCGAGCCGUUGAAACUGCCGUUC